rnacentral:rRNA from 1 species
CCUACGGGGGGCAGCAGUGAGGAAUAUUGGUCAAUGGACGAGAGUCUGAACCAGCCAAGUCGCGUGAAGGAUGACUGCCCUAUGGGUUGUAAACUUCUUUUAUAAAGGAAUAAAAGGAGCUACGGGUGCCUUUUUGCAAGUACUUUACGAAUAAGGAUCGGCUAACUCCGUGCCAGCAGCCGCGGUAAUACGGAGGAUUCAAGCGUUAUCCGGAUUUAUUGGGUUUAAAGGGUGCGUAGGCGGGUUGUUAAGUCAGUUGUGAAAUUUUGCGGCUCAACCUUAAAAUUGCAUUUGAUACUGGCAGUCUAGAGUGCAGUUGAGGUAGGCGGAAUGCGUGGUGUAGCGGUGAAAUGCUUAGAUAUCACGAAGAACCCCGAUUGCGAAGGCAGCUUACUAAGCUGUUACUGACAUUGAUGCACGAAAGUGUGGGUAUCAAACAGGAUUAGAUACCCGGGUAGUC